UCCCGUAACGAGCGCAACCCUUGUCCUUAGUUACCAGCACGUUAUGGUGGGCACUCUAAGGAGACUGCCGGUGACAAACCGGAGGAAGGUGGGGAUGACGUCAAGUCAUCAUGGCCCUUACGGCCUGGGCUACACACGUGCUACAAUGGUCGGUACAAAGGGUUGCCAAGCCGCGAGGUGGAGCUAAUCCCAUAAAACCGAUCGUAGUCCGGAUCGCAGUCUGCAACUCGACUGCGUGAAGUCGGAAUCGCUAGUAAUCGUGAAUCAGAAUGUCACGGUGAAUACGUUCCCGGGCCUU
rnacentral:rRNA from 1 species